GUAGCGUAAUGAAUAGCGUGUUGGACUUCUAAUCAAAAGGUCGGGGGUUGGACCCCCCCCCCCCU